UAAAGUUGAUUUGACAAAAAUUUGACAAAUAUGUUGAGAUAACAAAUCUUGAAAAUAUUUUUUACAGUGCAACUAUGAAAAUCUUGAAUAACCCUUACGAGCCCCGACGAAAGGGAAAGGGUUAAAGUUGUAUGACAGAAUUGUUUGGACAAGUGAAGCAGAAGAGGCAUUUGCAAACAUGAAAGUGCUGGCUCUGGCUCCUACUUUGAUUCAGCCCAUUGUACACAAACCGUUUAUUUAGAUGGUGGAUGAAAAGAAUGGGUUUAUGUUUUCUGUUCUUUUGCAGAAUCAUGGGGACAGACUGUGGCCUGUGGCUUACUUCUCAACUAGACUUGACCCAGUCGCGACACUGUUUGAGGGCUGUGACAGCUGCUGAGCAGGCAGUAAUGACAUCCAAAGAAUUUGUGGGGUAUUCUGAUUUGACUUUAAUGGUUGCUCACGCAGUCUCCAUGAUUUUGCAAGAACAAAGAACAGUACACUUAUCCACAGCCUAAUGGAUAAGAGGAACAUCAUUGUUAUCUGUCAGCGCUUAAGCAAGUGUGCACACUGCGCCCAGAUCUUUCGGACACACCACUAGACAAUUGUGAAAAUGUCCUCUUUGUGGAUGGGUCGGCUUUCAAAGAUCCACAAACAGGACAGAAUAAGGUUGGUUAUGCGGUAACCACUGAAUUUGAAGUCGUGUCGUCUGGGAAAUUGGCAUUAAAUUUGUCGCUUUGACAGAAGCAUGUAAACCUAUGGCAGACAAAUGUGUGACAAUUUACACAGACUCGCGCUACUCUUUUGGGGUCACUCACGAUUUUGGAGUGCUGUGGAAACACAGAAAAUGUUUGAAGUCAGACGGGCAUCCGAUUUUAAAAGCCGUGCUUGUGUCUGCCCUUUUGGAGGCCAUUCUUUAACCAGAUAAGGUUGCGAUCUGUAAAUGUGCAGCGCAUACUAACGAUAAAAGUCUAGACUCAACAGGAAACGCCAGAGAGGACGCAGCAGCGAAGGCCGAGGCAGCGCAGGAGACAAAAGAAACGAAAUGUACAUUGAUAUCUGACAAUAACCUCAACAUUUCUCCUUGUUUAUAGAUGCAGACUUUCGCAACAGGUCCAGAGGAAAAUAAGUGGAAGGCAUCUGGCUGCAGCUUUAAGGAGAAUGUGUGGAUGAGCUGUGAUGGCAUGCCUUGUUUACCCAGAAAUUUCUUUCCACAUUAUGCAAAAUUGACACAUGGGUUAGACCAUGUGAUGGGGAUGGAGAAUUCCAAGAAAAAUCAGUUCUGACAAUGGAACACACUUUGUUAAUGAAGCAAUAAAACAAGUGGGUCAUUUCUUGGGAAUUGAUAUGAGAACACAUUGCCUGCCUCUGGGGACACUAUUGAACAUGAGAACCAGACAGUCAAGAACAAAUUGGCUAAGUGGUGUGAGGAAACUGGGUUAAGGCACCUAAACGAGUCAAAACAAACCUAAGUCCAUUUGAAAUACUCUUUGGUACACCACCAUUCAUGGGAAGAGAAGGUGGAAAACAAAGGCUGCCAUCAACAGGUCUGUGUGAGCAUGACAUGUUGAAUUACUGCAAAGAAAUGUCUUCUCUGUUGUCCAAUUGUGUGCAGGUAAAAGCUGCCCAGGGAAAGGUUGCUGAAACUUUCCUGCAUAACAUCAAACCUGGUGAUUUUAUUGUGAUCUGUGAUCUAAGGAGGGCAAGCUGGUGGGCGAAAAGGUGGAUAGGACAAUUCCAAGUGAUACUGACGACACACACGGCUGUGAAGGUCGCGGAGAGGGCCACGUGGGUUCAUCCCAACCACUGCAGGAAAGUCUCAAGUGACUCAACGUGUCACAAUAAUUAUCGUGAAAAGAACCAGAUACAGGCUGCAAGGGGACAUGAAGAGGCAGGCAACCGUAGUUGCGCAAACAGCAUUCAACUGGACACCGUUAAUCAACAAGAUAAGACUCUCGGUGCCUCAAAGACUGAACUCCCUCAUACAGCUGCACUACUGACCUAGCUAACUGAAGAAAUGGAGCGUCCGAGACCUUGGCUCCAUUCAGAGCGCCAGGAAUGUGCGGCCUGGUUAGGAGAAGAGACUUCUAAAUCAGAAGUCACGUAUAGUUGGACCCUGUAACCUUAACUUGUCAGCUAGAAACAGAUUUAUAGACAACACAUGUUGAGGGUCACAUCAGAAUGUACCUGAAAGCAGCUGGUUAACACUCACAGCAAACAUAUGAUUAAACGUAUAUUUGAAUCACUCAUUGAAUAUAGAAAUUAAUAAUCACUCAUUACAUAUACAUUGAAGCAGCAGUGGAUUCCAAUCCUCCCCCUUCAACAUGCAUUAUGAAAUGUGUAUCCAGCUCAGUGCAGAGACUAGUGAUAGCUGGGAUGUUCAAUUGGUGAAAACGACAGUCUAUCCGGAUGAUGAUGAUGAUAAACAAAAAUAUGCAGACAAUACAAGUAGCAGAAGUUAUAGUGAAAUGUGUUAAAUGGAGUUAAGAUAUGUUUUUCCUACUAUACUAUUUCUUGAUUGAGGUGACUGAGAGUCUUGCUAAAUUACUAGAGAGUACUUGCUUGCUAAAUACUUUAGGGUCUAUCUCUAC